ensembl:snRNA U7 U7 small nuclear RNA
CUUUGUUACAGCUCUUUUAGAAUUUGUCUAGCAAGUGAAGACCAGAACCCCCCUCCC